rnacentral:rRNA from 1 species
AUGACGUCCACGGUGACCACGCCCACGCCCAGCCGCCCGCUCCCGGCGGGGCCCCAGCGGCGCCGGUACAGGCCCACGGUGCUCGCCAUCGCCGGCGGUAGCAAGCCGCCGCGCCGCCGGGCGCCCGCCGCCGCCACCAGCUGCGCGGCGCUCGCGGCGCCCGAGAAGCAGAGCACGGCGCCCUCCAAGCUCCCUGCUCCGUCGCCGGCGCCCGAGGGCACGGACUACGACGAGGUGGCCGCCACGCUGGAGACGCUGUACAAGCUGAGCCCCGUCAUCGUGGAGGAGGACGGGAAGAGGAGCAAGAAGCAGGCGGCGACCAAGAAGAAGAGGAAGCAGGGGAGGGCGAAAUCGGGAGCAGCGACGACGACGGCGGCGACGCCGAGGAGGACAGUGGUGGUGAGGAGCCAGCGGCGGCGCCGGAUGGACCUGGGGAAGCGGGUGGAGAUGCGGGAUCUGGCCGCCGGCAAGGAGGACGAACACCGGGACGGGGAGCGCGCGUUCGAGGAGGCGCUGCUGCGGGAGCACGCCGUGUCGACGGACAUGGGCAGCCUGGACUGGAGGUGGAUGAAGAUCCCGCCGGUGCUCUCCGCCCCGCAGAGCGCCCGCCUCUUCAAGAUCAUGCAGCCCAUGAAGGCCAUUUUGGAGGUGCAAGAGAACCUGCGGAACGAGCUGCAGAGCGAGCCGACGGACGUGGAGGUCGCCGAGGCCAUGAACAUGCCGGUGCAGCGGCUACGGCGGCUCCGCGACGUGGGCCGGGCGGCGAGGAACAAGCUCAUCAAGCACAACCUACGGCUGGUCCUGUACGCGAUCAACAAGUACUACCCGGACAUGACCGGCGACGAGAGGUUCGCGGACCUGUGCCAGGCCGGCGCCAACGGGCUCAUCACGGCCAUCGACCGCUUCGAGCCCAAGCGCGGCUUCCGCAUCUCCACCUACGCGCUCUUCUGGAUCCGCCACUCCGUCGUCCGCGCCAUGACGCUCUCCAGCUUCACCCGCUUUCCGUUCGCCAUGGAAUCGGAGAGGCAGGAGAUCAACAGGGCGAGGGAGGAGCUGUCGUUCGAGCUCGGGAGGGCGCCGACGGACGAGGAGACGAUGAAGAAAGUGGGGCUGUCGCCGGCGAGGUACCGCGACGUGGUGCGGAUGACGAGGCCCACCUACUCGCUGCACUCGCGGAACCGUGUCACGCAGGAGGAGCUCAUCAAGGAGGUCACCGACGUGGACGCCAUCGGGGUCGACACCCACAAGCACAACCGCCUCCUCCGCCUCGCCAUUGACGACCUCCUGGAUUCGCUGAAGCCCAAGGAGAGCGUGGUGAUCAGGCAGAGGUUCGGGCUAGACGGCAGGGGGAGGCGCACGCUGAGCGAGAUCGCCGGCAACCUGAGGAUCUCGAGGGAGAUGGUGCGCAAGUACGAGCUCAAGGCGCUGAUGAAGCUCAAGCACCCCACCCGGGUCGACUACCUGCGAAGAUACAUGUGA